rnacentral:tRNA from 1 species
GCUGAGGUAGCUCAGUUGGUAGAGCACACGACUGAAAAUCGUGGUGUCGGCGGUUCGAGUCCGCCCCUCGGCACCA